CCCAGACUCCUACGGGAGGCAGCAGUGGGGAAUAUUGCACAAUGGGGGAAACCCUGAUGCAGCGACGCCGCGUGAGCGAAGAAGUAUUUCGGUAUGUAAAGCUCUAUCAGCAGGGAAGAAAUUGACGGUACCUGAGUCAGAAGCUCCGGCUAAAUACGUGCCAGCAGCCGCGGUAAUACGUAUGGAGCAAGCGUUAUCCGGAUUUACUGGGUGUAAAGGGAGCGUAGGUGGCCUGCCAAGUCUGAUGUGAAAUGCCGGGGCUCAACCCCGGGGCUGCAUUGGAAACUGGCAGGGUGGAGUGUCGGAGAGGCAGGCGGAAUUCCUAGUGUAGCGGUGAAAUGCGUAGAUAUUAGGAGGAACACCAGUGGCGGAGGCGGCUUGCUGGACGAUGACUGACGUUGAGGCUCGAAAGCGUGGGGAGCAAACAGGAUUAGAUACCCCAGUA
rnacentral:rRNA from 1 species